ensembl:lncRNA
CUUCUGGGUGCUUCCUGCCCUCCCCGUGGGUACCAGCAAUUCACGCUUUAUCCGGGAGGCCUCCAGGCUGCAGGAUGGGCUGCCUCUCGACUGUAAGUCAACAAAUAUUUCCUGAUGUUAUCCCUGAGCAAGGCCCCUGGCCAAGGCAUUGGCAUUACUGGGCUUCAAAUCACAGCACUGCUGCUUCCAAGUUGGGCAGUUUCUAGAAAAAUCACCUCACCUCUCUGAGCCUCAGUUUCCUCAUCUAUCGAAUGGGGAUUCAUUUUGAACACGUUCUAGAAGAGUCAUU